rnacentral:rRNA from 1 species
UAGUCCACGCCGUAAACGAUGGAUACUAGGUGUGGGAGGUAUCAACUCCUUCCGUGCCGCCGUUAACACAUUAAGUAUCCCGCCUGGGGAGUACGGUCGCAAGAUUAAAACUCAAAGGAAUUGACGGGGGCCCGCACAAGCAGCGGAGCAUGUGGUUUAAUUCGAAGCAACGCGAAGAACCUUACCUAGACUUGACAUCUCCUGCAUUACUCUUAAUCGAGGAAGUCCCUUCGGGGACAGGAUGAC